rnacentral:rRNA from 1 species
UACGAAGGUCCCAAGCGUUGUUCGGAAUCACUGGGCGUAAAGCGUGUGUAGGCUGCGCGGAAAGUCAAAUGUGAAAGCCCAGGGCUCAACCCUGGAACUGCAUUCGAUACUCCCGUGCUAGAGUAAUGGAGGGGUAAGUGGAAUUCUCGGUGUAGCAGUGAAAUGCGUAGAUAUCGAGAGGAACAUCAAUGGCGAAGGCAACUUACUGGACAUUAACUGACGCUCAGACACGAAGGCUAGGGGAGCGAAAGGG